rnacentral:rRNA from 1 species
GAAUUGAAGAGUUUGAUCAUGGCUCAGAUUGAACGCUGGCGGCAGGCUUAACACAUGCAAGUCGAACGGUAGCACAUAGGAGUUUGCUCCUUGGGUGACGAGUGGCGGACGGGUGAGUAAUGCUUGGGAAUCUGGCUUAUGGAGGGGGAUAACUACUGGAAACGGUAGCUAAUACCGCGUAAUGUCUUAGGACUAAAGGGUGGGACCAUUUGGCCACCUGCCAUAAGAUGAGCCCAAGUGGGAUUAGGUAGUUGGUGAGGUAAAGGCUCACCAAGCCCGCGAUCUCUAGCUGGUCUGAGAGGAUGACCAGCCACACUGGAACUGAGACACGGUCCAGACUCCUACGGGAGGCAGCAGUGGGGAAUAUUGCACAAUGGGGGGAACCCUGAUGCAGCCAUGCCGCGUGAAUGAAGAAGGCCUUCGGGUUGUAAAGUUCUUUCGGUGACGAGGAAGGCGAUUGUUUUAAUAGAACAGUCGAUUGACGUUAAUCACAGAAGAAGCACCGGCUAACUCCGUGC